UUUUGAAGAGAGCUAUUGGUAGCAUCUUCUCCUAAAAUGUGAUUAAGGAAUAAAACUAGCAGGACAUCAUCAUGGAUUCGAAUCCCAGACAUACCAGCAACUAGUUUCAUGGCCUCAGGGUCUCAUCUUACCCUACUAAUGUCUACACUACAGCAUAGCAGUUAAGAACGAACCCUAAAGAUAAUGCCUGUGGUCAAACCUCACCUGUUUCACAUCCUAGAAAGGUCCAGCAGUGAACUGGACUGAACCAAUUUACAGAAAAAUGCCAAGGCCUUCAGUGUUGGUAAUCCCAGGAUGAAGACGCUCCUCGAGACCCUUCCCAGGGAUGUCAGGGUACAGACCUGACCCAUGCGAUUUAUCCUUUCUGUCCCAGCUCCUGGGUUCAGAGAACUCCUGACAGAUUCUUUAUUAUUUACAAAUGUCAGAUCUUUUCUACCCUCUUUUAGGCUAAUCUGUAAAUACGCAAUGUGGUAUGAAGGUGGGUGGCGUCUUUCUCCUGGACAUUUUUGUCCCAUGGGCAAACUACUGCUUGUUCCAGACUUAGUCCAGGAACACUCUAGACACAACUAUGAAGGCUCAGGAAAUCCUGUACUAUUUCUCUGU